GAUGAAGAACGUAGCGAAACGCGAUAAGUAAUGUGAAUUGCAGAAUCCAGUGAAUCAUCGAAUCUUUGAACGCACAUUGCGCCCGCCAGCAUUCUGGCGGGCAUGCCUGUUCGAGCGUCAUUUCAACCCUCGACCUCCCCUUGGGGAGGUCGGCGUUGGGGACCGGCAGCACACCGCCGGCCCUGAAAUGGAGUGGCGGCCCGUCCGCGGCGACCUCUGCGCAGUAAUACAGCUCGCACCGGGACCCCGACGCGGCCACGCCGUAAAACACCCAACUUCUGAACGUUGACCUCGAAUCAGGUAGGACUACCCGCUGAACUUAAGCAUAUCAAAAGCGGAGGA
rnacentral:misc_RNA from 1 species